UAGGGAAUCUUCGGCAAUGGACGAAAGUCUGACCGAGCAACGCCGCGUGAGUGAAGAAGGUUUUCGGAUCGUAAAACUCUGUUGUUAGAGAAGAACAAGGACGUUAGUAACUGAACGUCCCCUGACGGUAUCUAACCAGAAAGCCACGGCUAACUACGUGCCAGCAGCCGCGGUAAUACGUAGGUGGCAAGCGUUGUCCGGAUUUAUUGGGCGUAAAGCGAGCGCAGGCGGUUUCUUAAGUCUGAUGUGAAAGCCCCCGGCUCAACCGGGGGGGGUCAUUGGAAACUGGGUGACUUGAGUGCAGAAGAGGAGAGUGGAAUUCCAUGUGGAGCGGUGAAAUGCGUAGAUAUAUGGAGGAACACCAGUGGCGAAGGCGGCUCUCUGGUCUGUAACUGACGCUGAGGCUCGAAAGCGUGGGGAGCAAACAGG
rnacentral:rRNA from 1 species